rnacentral:piRNA from 1 species
UGCCAAGUGUUUUCAGAGCGCACAUCCC